AUCCAACUGACGAGUCCGAAAUAGAACGAAAUACGCAUCUCGGUU
rnacentral:hammerhead_ribozyme from 1 species